rnacentral:tRNA from 1 species
GGGCCCGUGGUCUAGUGGUUACGACGUUGCUUUGACGUGGCAAAGAUCCCAGGUUCGAUCCCUGGCGGGCCCA